rnacentral:rRNA from 1 species
GAUGAACGCUGGCGGCGUGCCUAAUACAUGCAAGUCGAGCGAACAGACGAGGAGCUUGCUCCUCUGACGUUAGCGGCGGACGGGUGAGUAACACGUGGAUAACCUACCUAUAAGACUGGGAUAACUUCGGGAAACCGGAGCUAAUCCCGGAUAAUAUAUUGCACCGCAUGGUUCAUUAGUGAAAGACGGUUUUGCUGUCACUUAUAGAUGGUUCCGCGCCGCAUUAGCGAGUUGGUAAGGUAAAGGCUUACCAAGGGGACGAUGCGUAGCCGAGCUACGGGGGGGAUCGGCCACACAGGAACUGAGACACGGUCCAGGCUCCUAGGUAAGGCAGCAGUAGGGAAUCGUCCGCAAAGUGCGAAAGCCUGACGGAGCAACGCCGCGUGAGUGAAGAAGGUCUUCGGAUCGUAAAACGCUGUUAUGAGGGAAGAACGAAUGUGUAAGUAACUAUGCACGACUUGACGGAACCUAAACAGAAGGCCACGGCUAACUACGG